UACGAAGGGGGCUAGCGUUGUUCGGAAUUACUGGGCGUAAAGCGCGCGCAGGCGGUUUUCCAAGUCUGUGGUGAAAGCCCGGAGCUCAACUCCGGAACUGCCAUUGAAACUGGCGAACUUGAGUACGAGAGAGGUGAGUGGAAUUCCCAGUGUAGAGGUGAAAUUCGUAGAUAUUGGGAAGAACACCGGUGGCGAAGGCGGCUCGCUGGCUCGUAACUGACGCUCAGGCGCGACAGCGUGGGGAUCAAACAGG
rnacentral:rRNA from 1 species